AGGACGAACGCUGGCGGCGUGCUUAACACAUGCAAGUCGAACGGAAAGGCCCUUCGGGGUACUCGAGUGGCGAACGGGUGAGUAACACGUGGGUGAUCUGCCCCGCACUUUGGGAUAAGCCUGGGAAACUGGGUCUAAUACCGAAUAGGACCAUGGCAUGCAUGUGCUGUGGUGGAAAGCUUUUGCGGUGUGGGAUGGGCCCGCGGCCUAUCAGCUUGUUGGUGGGGUUAAGGCCUACCAAGGCGACGACGGGUAGCCGGCCUGAGAGGGUGUCCGGCCACACUGGGACUGAGAUACGGCCCAGACUCCUACGGGAGGCAGCAGUGGGGAAUAUUGCACAAUGGGCGCAAGCCUGAUGCAGCGACGCCGCGUGAGGGAUGACGGCCUUCGGGUUGUAAACCUCUUUCAGUAUCGACGAAGCGCAGUGACGGUAGGUACAGAAGAAGGACCGGCCAACUACGCGCCAGCAGCCGCGGUAA
rnacentral:rRNA from 1 species